GCGGAAUUCGUGGUGUAGCGGUGAAAUGCUUAGAUAUCACGAAGAACUCCGAUUGCGAAGGCAGCACACUAAUCCGUAACUGACGUUCAUGCUCGAAAGUGUGGGUAUCAAACAGGAUUAGAUACCCUGGUAGUCCACACGGUAAACGAUGAAUACUCGCUGUUUGCGAUAUACAGCAAGCGGCCAAGCGAAAGCGUUAAGUAUUCCACCUGGGGAGUACGCCGGCAACGGUGAAACUCAAAGGAAUUGACGGGGGCCCGCACAAGCGGAGGAACAUGUGGUUUAAUUCGAUGAUACGCGAGGAACCUUACCCGGGCUUAAAUUGCAGAUGAAUUACGGUGAAAGCCGUAAGCCGCAAGGCAUCUGUGAAGGUGCUGCAUGGUUGUCGUCAGCUCGUGCCGUGAGGUGUCGGCUUAAGUGCCAUAACGAGCGCAACCCUUGUUGUCAGUUACUAACAGGUUCCGCUGAGGACUCUGACAAGACUGCCAUCGUAAGAUGUGAGGAAGGUGGGGAUGACGUCAAAUCAGCACGGCCCUUACGUCCGGGGCUACACACGUGUUACAAUGGGGGGUACAGAGGGCCGCUACCACGCGAGUGGAUGCCAAUCCCAAAAACCUCUCUCAGUUCGGACUGGAGUCUGCAACCCGACUCCACGAAGCUGGAUUCGCUAGUAAUCGCGCAUCAGCCACGGCGCGGUGAAUACGUUCCCGGGCCUUGUACACACCGCCCGUCAAGCCAUGGGAGCCGGGGGUACCUGAAGUGCGUAACCGCGAGGAGCGCCCUAGGGUAAAACUGGUGACUGGGGCUAAGUCGUAACAAGGUAGCCGUACCGGAAGGUGCGGCUG
rnacentral:rRNA from 1 species